rnacentral:rRNA from 1 species
GAUGAACGCUGGCGGCGUGGUUAUCACAUGCAAGUCGAACGAAGCACUUUAUUUGAUUUCCUUCGGGACUGAUUAUUUUGUGACUGAGUGGCGGACGGGUGAGUAACGCGUGGGUAACCUGCCUUGUACAGGGGGAUAACAGUUGGAAACGGCUGCUAAUACCGCAUAAGCGCACAGCAUCGCAUGAUGCAGUGUGAAAAACUCCGGUGGUAUAAGAUGGACCCGCGUUGGAUUAGCUAGUUGGUGAGGUAACGGCCCACCAAGGCGACGAUCCAUAGCCGACCUGAGAGGGUGACCGGCCACAUUGGGACUGAGACACGGCCCAAACUCCUACGGGAGGCAGCAGUGGGGAAUAUUGCACAAUGGGCGAAAGCCUGAUGCAGCGACGCCGCGUGAGCGAAGAAGUAUUUCGGUAUGUAAAGCUCUAUCAGCAGGGAAGAUAAUGACGGU